rnacentral:lncRNA from 1 species
GCGGCAGAUAAGGGAAUUGUAGCAGCGGAGAAAGGAAUUGAAGCGGCGGAGAAAGGAUUGGUGACGGCUGAGAAGGGGAUAGAAGCUGCGGAGGAGAAGAUUGAGAGCUCAGUGAGUUUUGGAGGGUUAGCUCAAGCUGGAGCAGUGGCUGGAGCUGAAUUAGUUGGAGUUUUGGUCGCCUCAACUGUUGUUAAUGGUAUUUUAGGACCUGAAGCUCAAAAAUCUUGAAAAGAUUAUUGAUUUUCAUGUAAUAUUUCAUUUUUGUUACUGUUAUUUGCAAACUUGAUUGUGCUUUGCUUAAUUCAAAGGGUGGCAUUUCUGAUACAUAUAUUCCGAUUGUAUGAUGUCACUUAUAGUUUUAUUAUAUAUGUAGAUUUAUGUAACAUAUCCGGUGUACUAGAGUCUUGAACAUGAAUGGAUAAUGCAAUUAAUGCAAGAGUGUUCUUAUUGAAUUUAAAGAGGCAAUCGAGAAAGUCAUCGAUUUUUUUUUAGAAAGUUC